rnacentral:rRNA from 1 species
AUGGCUAAGACGCGUCCGCCCAAGAAGAUCCUCGAGUCCUACACCAUCAAGGGGUCUGACAAAGUCAUCAAGCCUGGGGACUGUGUGCUAAUGAGAUCAGCUGAUACAUCAAAGCCACCGUAUGUGGCAAAAGUCGAGUCCAUUGAGGCAACAGGGUCUCGAGGCACAAAUGUGAGAGUACGGGUUCGAUGGUACUAUCGUCCAGAAGAAUCCAUUGGUGGGAGGCGACCAUUUCAUGGUUCCAAAGAGGUAUUCCUCUCUGACCACUAUGAUGUACAGAGUGCUGACACAAUAGAGGGAAAAUGCAAUGUCCACAGCUUCCGUAGCUACACAAAGCUUGAUUCUGUGAAUGCCGAGGACUUCUUCUGUCGCUUUGACUACAAAUCAGCAUCCGGCAGUUUCGUGCCCGACCGUAUAGCUGUGUUUUGCAAGUGUGAGAUGCCGUACAAUCCUGAUGACCUUAUGAUCCAAUGUGAGGAAUGCUCUGACUGGUUUCACCCUUCUUGUAUUGGAAUGACCAUUAAAGAAGCAAAGAAACGAGAACACUUCUUCUGCCAGAGCUGUACUGCUGAAAAUGGGAAGACAACUGAGAAUUCUCAUGAAGCCACGGCAGAGUCAGAAGAAAGGCCGGUGGAGUCGAAAAGGCGGAGAAGGUGA